GGGACACGUGGUAUCCUGUCUGAAUAUGGGGGGACCAUCCUCCAAGGCUAAAUACUCCUGACUGACCGAUAGUGAACCAGUACCGUGAGGGAAAGGCGAAAAGAACCCCGGCGAGGGGAGUGAAAAAGAACCUGAAACCGUGUACGUACAAGCAGUGGGAGCCUCUUUAUGGGGUGACUGCGUACCUUUUGUAUAAUGGGUCAGCGACUUAUAUUCUGUAGCAAGGUUAACCGAAUAGGGGAGCCGAAGGGAAACCGAGUCUUAACUGGGCGUUAAGUUGCAGGGUAUAGACCCGAAACCCGGUGAUCUAGCCAUGGGCAGGUUGAAGGUUGGGUAACACUAACUGGAGGACCGAACCGACUAAUGUUGAAAAAUUAGCGGAUGACUUGUGGCUGGGGGUGAAAGGCCAAUCAAACCGGGAGAUAGCUGGUUCUCCCCGAAAGCUAUUUAGGUAGCGCCUCGUGAAUUCAUCUCCGGGGGUAGAGCACUGUUUCGGCAAGGGGGUCAUCCCGACUUACCAACCCGAUGCAAACUGCGAAUACCGGAGAAU
rnacentral:rRNA from 1 species